rnacentral:lncRNA from 1 species
UCGAGAGGGAGGGAUCAGAGGGUAGAAGCUUCAUGCUCAAAGAGUUACACAGAGAAGGGGGAGGGAUCACUACUCAAGUUGCUCUGUGAGUGUUCUAGUCUGAGAUUUCGUAGUACUGCUUCUAGACUGAGGAACAGUCUGUCUCAUACUUCCAGGGACUAGCAGAGUUCUCCUGUGAAGGGCAUGGCUCUAUAGCAGGAGAGGUGAAGGGAGCUGAGUCAGGAGUCUGGGGAGGAGACUGGAACAUAGGCAGAACAGGCCCGGCUGAACCAAAACACGCACACGUCGCUGCACAUGCACUCUGGGAGUUCAGCGCAGGAGUGCUGCACUGUGAAACUGCAGCAAUCUUGUGCGAAUGUGUGUGUGCCUCCUUAGAGAAAGGCUGCAGUACACACUGACAAGGUGAGCCUACUGAAGGAGAAGUCUGCCACUGCAGAGAACGGAUCUGUCCACACUGAUUCAGUCAAAGCAAAGCCACAGGUGACUGCUGACGAGGAAGAAAAGCCGCAAAGGCAAGAAGAGGAGGAUAAAGAGGAGCUAGAGUUUCCUCAUGAUCUGCUGGCCAGCAUAGACCUUGACCUCAGCACUGAGCUCAGUCUCACCUGGGGAAUCUCACUUGGACCAUUUGAGAUCCACAGUUUGCCUCAGGCUGAACUAGAAUUCCGAACCCCAACUGAAGAAUAUUUUCCCCCUGCACCUGAAGAGAGUUUCCCCCCUGCGCCUGAGGAGAGUUUUCGCCCUUGGCCUGUGGAGAGUUUUCCUCCUGCACCUGAGGAGAGUUUUCCUCCUGCUCCUGUGGAGAGUUUUUCUCCUGCACCUGAGGAGAGUUUUACCCCUGUUACUAAGCAGACAGAAGAACCACUAGACUGCAGGAGCUCAGACUCAGACGGAGCAUUCGAAACCCCUGAGUCCACCACCCCUGUGAAGUCUGCUUCCCCACCAGUGCCCUCAACAGAGCCCCCCUGCACCAAAUCAGAGGGAUUGUCCCCAGAACACACAGGUACGUUUAGAUCUUCAUUCCAUUGCAAUUCACACCACAGAUUGUCUUAUGUGGAG